ACGCAAGAAACUGACAAUGCUAUAUGUAGGUCCAACAUUGUCUUUGAAUCUUGCAUUCGUUCCUUCACUCCUUCCAGUGCUCUGUAUGAAUGGGAAGAAGUCAUUUUUGAAGUACACAGCAUCUCAAAUUCCUCUUCUGUCACUGAGAAGUUUACUGUGUCUUCAAAUAUUUCUGGAAUGCACAUGCAAACAAGCAUGUGUGUGCAUGCCCUGUAAUCCCAACAAAUGGUGCAAAUGGUAGGUUAUAUCUGUUUGUCAUGUACGUAGUGUCAAAGCUCACACAUUCACCAUAUUCUGCAUACCACUUUAGUGAUAUUCCUUCCCUCCAGAAAAGAUUUUUGACCUUCAUGUCAUUGUCCACUUGGAACCUGUAGUAGAAUGUUGGAUCUUCUGCUUUUCUUUUUCUGAAGUAGUCCAUUGCUUGUGUCAUGUCAUUACCUGUAACCUCUCUGUUAAUUUUUGUUCUCAGAUUUUGCACAUCUUUUGUCUUGUAUGGCAGUGCUGUCAAUCCUCCUCUCAGGUAAGACAGGAUAGCUAUCAUUUUUCUUGUAGGUAUAUUGUUGUCAUUGAGUGUCCUUAUUAUCCCUUUCUCCAUAUCUGUCAUGUAUUUUUUCCCACUGAACAACUGAUUUCUCCUCUGUGGGCUGAGCUCAUGGUUGUGGUCUAAAUCAAGUCUAAUAAUUUUCCAGACCCCCAAUGCUUCCUUAACCACCAUCACACACUUGCAGUCUGUCUUGACCUGUACAUUUGUUUUUCUUUUGGUCUUGUCCUUCCUAUUGCCAUCCUCCAUCAUAGUUUCUUCUGUGUUUUCUUCUUCAGAUUUCUUUUCUUGCUUCCCAUAGCGAUGACAUUUCAUUUCUUGCUUGUAUAUCUCCUUGUUCCUGUUCUUUGCUGAUGUUCUAGCUACAUGUGAAACAACUACUUGAAAUCCAGCUAGAAACCCAUAAAAUGAGAAGAAAUGAUUGGCAUCAUCUCUGCUUUUAAAUUCUUGUCCAAUCUGAGGUGUGUAUUUGCUGUCUAUGUCCGCAUUGUUCCCUUCUGCUGCAGCUUGCUGCUCACUCUUUAGAAAUUCUUCUAUUUCCUCCUCUGUCAGUGGUUGGCUGCCAUUUGUAUCAUUUUCA